AUGGGAACGCGAAGAACCUUACCUACUCUUGACAUCCAGAGAACUUUCCAGAGAUAGAUUGGUGCCUUCGGGAACUCUGAGACAGGUGCUGCAUGGCUGUCGUCAGCUCGUGUUGUGAAAUGUUGGGUUAAAGUCCCGCAACGAGCGCAACCCUUAUCCUUUGUUGCCAGCGGUUCGGCCGGGAACUCAAAGGAGACUGCCAGUGAUAAACUGGAGGAAGGUGGGGAUGACGUCAAGUCAUCAUGGCCCUUACGAGUAGGGCUACACACGUGCUACAAUGGCGCAUACAAAGAGAAGCGACCUCGCGAGAGCAAGCGGACCUCAUAAAGUGCGUCGUAGUCCGGAUUGGAGUCUGCAACUCGACUCCAUGAAGUCGGAAUCGCUAGUAAUCGUAGAUCAGAAUGCUACGGUG
rnacentral:rRNA from 1 species